rfam:Aedes albopictus isolate Foshan contig4823, whole genome shotgun sequence.
UACUCUGUGGCUUAGUUAGUAAAAGCGCCAGACUAGCGAUACGGAGUCGUGGGUUCGAGUCCCGUCAAAACAA